rnacentral:rRNA from 1 species
CCUACGGGGGGCUGCAGUGGGGAAUAUUGGACAAUGGGCGAAAGCCUGAUCCAGCCAUGCCGCGUGUGUGAAGAAGGCCUUCGGGUUGUAAAGCACUUUCAGUGGGGAAGAAAGCCUUGGGGCUAAUACCCUCGAGGAAGGACAUCACCCACAGAAGAAGCACCGGCUAACUCCGUGCCAGCAGCCGCGGUAAUACGGAGGGUGCGAGCGUUAAUCGGAAUUACUGGGCGUAAAGCGCGCGUAGGCGGUCUGAUAAGCUGGUUGUGAAAGCCCCGGGCUCAACCUGGGAACGGCAUCCGGAACUGUCAGGCUAGAGUGCAGGAGAGGAAGGUAGAAUUCCCGGUGUAGCGGUGAAAUGCGUAGAGAUCGGGAGGAAUACCAGUGGCGAAGGCGGCCUUCUGGACUGACACUGACGCUGAGGUGCGAAAGCGUGGGUAGCAAACAGGAUUAGAUACCCGAGUAGUA